GGUGCCUGAGUGUUUAACCUAGAAUGGUAAACUAUCUCUGAGCUAGGCCCUCUGAGUUAUUCUCCUGAGUGAUCUCCCGUUGUGUUUUCCUCUCGUCAGGUUUUCUGCCGUCUCCCAGUGUGUAGUCUGUGGAUUCAAGUCUCCUGGAACCUUCAGCGAGUUUUUCCUCGUCGUCUCAAGUCCGAUCUGUCGGAAGCCAAGUCUCCAAGCGGUCUCCGCUCCGAUCAGCCUCCCGAGGAACCGUUACCCCCUCUGACGCCUCAGCCGUCCGCUACAGCCUCUCUUACCUGUCCGUCCUCCAACGUGCACCGCUCGCUGGAUUAGCGAGCUCUGGACCUCCGUCUUCAGUAGCAACCUCAGGCAACAAUCAAACCCAUUUCACCCCCAUUCCCAAGUAAGAUUCACCGACUAUCUCUGCAUGAUCUUUCUGCUACCGACUGUUACUCACAUCUAUCCUCUCAUUUAACAGUUGAUGACCUUGCAGUCCCAACCCCGUAUCCAGAACUUCCCCACCACUUCUCUUUAUUAAACUUUAUUAUUG